UUGGGUUGUUAUAUUAUCCACAUUAGGGGUCCUUGAGAGUUUUUGAUCUGUUAGAGGUCCAAUAUAGGGAUACCAUGCAUGAGUUCUUGUUCAAUGAGUUUCCUAGGGAUGUUGCAGUGGAUUUCAUGUCUUGACGUCCUCUAAUUUUCUUCUUCCUUAAAUCUAGGGUUCACCACACAUAAAACAUAACUUAGAUAUCAAUUUUUUAUCUGCUGGCAUCCAAGAUCAUGGUAAUUAUCAAUCACAGCAUGACACUUUAGAAGGAAGAAAGAAAAUUCUAGAACAUUGCCGAUCAUGUUUAUACACUUAGAAGGUUGCUCAAUGGUCAUCCUCAGGGAUUAUAGUGAACUUCCCAAGAAUAAGCUCUUUCUUUGACAACCACAAACCACCAGAAGUGACUCAAGACAUAAAAGGAGCCUUGAAUAAUGGCCCCUGCCACACGAUGAGGUGAUUCCUGCACCACAUUCAGCUUGUCAAAACCCAACAUUGUAAGAAGCUGAAAAUUUGGCAGUAGCCUGCCCAUUAGCAUGGCAAUGCAAUAAUUGGAAUAGAUGUCAAUCAAUAAGUACAUGGCAUUGGUUGUGUUCUCCACCUUAAAAUAUUUAUGGAACAGUUGAUGGGAUGACCAUGGGCUUUAUGGUUGAAGUACGAUGCAUGAUGAAACACAAUUUAUGUUAUGUACACUUGUGACAUAGUAUUAUCGGAGGCUUUUCUGAAAAAAACUAAUUUUAGCAAUCACUCGGUAGUUGAUAUACCAGUAAACCAAUUUGGCCUAAUACACUCACCAUCACAGCCUAAAGAAUCAAAUCUUUACUGUUUAUCAAUUAAAAAAGCCCAAUAUCAUACUGCAAGAAGCCUUUGCUUUUGCACUGAUCCCAACGAUCCUUCUCCCAAAUUCCAAUAUGCCAACGAGUCCUCGUUCAAGCUCAAGACCACCAACUCUUCUUUGAUUAUAAAUUGUACCAUAACUAAAUAAUAGAUAACCAAGAUUAAUUCUUUUCAACCUCAUCAUCGUCUCAGCCUUUCUUUCCAUCAAAAAGCCGCCCCCUUUAGUUCAUAACUUCAGCAAGAAUACUACAUUCAACUUCAGAACCAAAACAAAGCCAAUGAUAUAAUAACCCCCCGCUCUAACGUCAAGAACUCUAAAAUCCAUCAUUCAAGAAAUCAAAAAAGGAGCAGCAUUGAUCUUCGCAACAAAAAAAAAGGUAACAAGCAGAAGGGACGGACAGCGAAGAAAAAGGCUAGCUUACUUUCUUGGUGAACUCAUCAGUGGAGCGGAUCUCAUCCUCGGGCUACUCCUCCUCCUCCUCUUCUUCCUGCUCCUCCUCCUUCUCCUCGUGGUCGUCGGGAAGCGAGACAGGACGUUCUUGAAGGAGUUUUAGAGACUUUGGCAUCGACGGAGGUGGUUCUCCUCCGGGCUUACUCCUCGGCCACGGACUCCGAGUAGUAGGCGAACUCCUAUGGGGAUUGCUUCGCCCCUUCCUCGACCACUACGGCCUCCUCCCCCUAGCUCACCGUGUCGAGGUGGAAGUCGGGAUCCACGGGAGAGCGAGAGAAGAAAUGCGAGAAUGAUCUCAGCUCGAGCGCUAAAAAGAGAGCGGAAGGGGUUUCUUGGGGGUUUGGAGGGGUCAAAAUUUGACCGUUGGAUUAGGAUCGAGUCGAGGCGGCGGCAAGAAAUUCGGCCGUAUUUUGUCGGAACCCAACCCAAACCCAGAACUCAUGGAGGCUGUGUCCUGGGCCAGGCCCAGCAAAAUUCUCAAUGCCAACUGGAAUUCACUGUACUCAAAAAAGUGUGAGAAAUUAUUAUGUGAGCAAGAUCCACCAGAGAUUAAGGGUGGCAAUUCACCAUCUAACCUAUUAAUCUGAUCUACAAAUGAUUUAUUUUAAGCAGAUUUAAAUUUGACAUAAAUAGAUCAAUCCAUCUAGACCUACUUAUUAAAUGGAUUGGAUUCCGAUUUAAACUUUUGACCCAUUUAACUCAUUUUGAUCUAUUUAAUAAUUAGAUUUUGAUCUAUUUAAUAUUUAGAUCGGAUCAUAAUCUGAACCAAUUGAAUCUAUUUAAAACAUUCUUAACAUGUUUAUAACAUGUUUGACUUGAUCCAUAUAACCUAUUUUAUUCAUUUAACCUAACUUGAUCUAUUUAAUAAAUUUAUGUGGAUUGAGUUGAAUUAUAUGUUUAAUAAAUGUCAUAUUUAAAUUUAAAAUUUUAAUUUAUUUAAUAAAUAAAUUAAAU
rnacentral:lncRNA from 1 species